rnacentral:lncRNA from 1 species
UAUCAGCUGUACCUCUGUUCGAUUUGACGACAAAAUUCGGUUUCACUAUGAAGUAGCUGUCAUUCUCCCAGGCCUGCCCCGAUUUUCUGCUUCCACAGCCGCGAUGGUCUCAAGAAAAGACAUCUAUUUCCUGAGCUAUUACACGGUCCCCUUGAGAAAUAAUAGUGCCAGUACGAUAAUGUUUCGCUCGAAAUAGCUCCAGUUUUCUACCAAAACAGCUAUGACCUAUUUAACGGUCAUAUUAAAAAAGAAACCCGCCAUCACGGGACUAGCAGUCAUCCAAGCUCUUACUGUGCAUCAGGCACUACUCGUGAAUUCAUUUUAGUUCUCCGUGACGCAAUGCAGAGGAUAUCACUAGAACGACUUAUCAAACCAGCCUUGUUAACCCUGAUGUCCAUCUGAAAUUGCACAGUCAGGAAGGGCCAUCCCCUGGGUGUUCAGUCCUAACGAUUAUGGUGAAGUAUCUCCCAAUUGUAACUGCUGUUGGGAAUGCCAAUGGAAAAACCUUUCCAUAUAACCAGAAUGUUUGGACCUUAGAAACAGAUAAAGAUCGGCUUCCUACUAAUGACGCCGGAUUUCGCCUCCUGCUUAUACUUGUCGUUAUAGUGUUUGAUUACAGUGAUGAUUGUAUUGUAGUGUUAUCACUUCUUGUGACAUGUGUUACUUAAAAUAUGCUAUUUGCAUUGUG